ACUGAAGCGCUGAUCAAAGAGGAGAGCCUGACUGAAGGGCAACCAGCCAGCCUGUGAACUCAACAUUCCUAAAGAGAGACAGAGAUGGCUCCUGCAUUCCUUCACCAACAUGAACACAGGGAAGGCAACUCUGCUAAAAGAGAGAGCAACUGCACCCUCCCUAUCCAGGCCAACAUCAUGACAGCCAUGCAGAAUGGGCAAGCUCUUGGUGGAUGCACUUUAGAUUAUUCCAAUCGUGUUGGCUACAUCCAAUGCAUCAUAGUCUGAAGCAAGACGGACAUAAGCCUUCUUUCUCACCAUCGGGACAGAUCAAUGUGUUGAUUCUUGGCCACAUCAAUAUCACACAGUUUCUUGACAGCCUGCUUGAUCUGAUGUUUCUUGGCCUUGAUAUCUACGAUGAA